CUUCUCCUUAUAACUCAAACGCUCCAUUCCCAGCAACAUUUUGCUAAAUCUCUUCUGAACCUUCUCCAGUUUAACGAUAUUCUUCCUAUAACAGGGUGACCUAAACUGGAUGCAGUUCUCCAGAAGAGGCCUCACCAGCAUUCUGUACAACCUCACUAAAACCAAAAGAACUGCAAAUGCUGUAAACCAGGAACAAAAACAGAAGUUGCUGGAAAAGCUGAGUAGGUCUCGCAGCAUCUGUGAAGAAAAAAAAAGUCAGAGUUUACAUAUCGGGUCCAGUGACCCUUCCUCAGAACUGUUCUCUACAACCUCUACAUGAUGUCCCAACUCCAGUACUGAAGAGUCUGAGCAAUGAAGGAAGCUUGUAAAGCAACAGUACAAGAAAGGAUGGCAGUAGCAAAUCUAUCCAAACAAGACUGUAGCAGAAACAGACACCAGAGUUGGCAUAUUUUACAACAUACUGAACAACAGUUGGGUUUUUGUCUUCUAAAGUGAAGAGAUGAAAAAAAUCCACAGCCAUUUGAAGAGAAGAAAGGGGGACAAAAUCUUGCUGCAGGCAAAAAGAAAAGGAUCUGAUGGCCUUCAUAAAUGUCUUCUCCUGGACUCCUAAUGCACAGCAGAUCAAUUUCAUCUCCAAACCAAUGCAACUCUACCACAGGAUUUCUACAGAACCUUCCUAAAGCAGUCCAUGGAUCAGAUGGAAAACGGAAGAGAUCAAAAGUGGAGAUAGGAGUCAUGACCAUGUUCCUCACCAAGCAUUUUAUCUACUGGUCCAAAACCUGGGUCCUUGGACUCUAUACUAAAAAGCUCCUCAGCAAGGGAUCAUCAUCAAAAAGAGAAGAGAGAGGAAAAGGAAACCAGCCAAGAAAGCAUUUGUCCCCAACAACCACAAAAAAGAGAAAAAUUCCAGUUUAAUAUUGAUUUUUGUAAGUUGUGAGAUUGAGUGUGAGCUGAAAUUCUCCUUACUUAUGUUCUUCAUUGCUAUACAAAAUGUAGUUCCAAUCAAAAGACAACUUUCAUUGUUUAAAUAAACUGUUGAUAAGUCUUAGGCUAAUGGCUAUCACAUAGCUACACAACUGUAUGAGGAAGCACUAUUUAUAGUCAUUGCUCAGUCAUACAAAGCUCAUGUCCUUAUAAUCAUCAGUUUCUUUAGUGCCUACUCUGUGGUAAUUGUUUUGUAUGGCCCUGGGCAAGCAAUCAAAGGAUGUAAAAGUUGAAUUUCAAGCUGCACAAGUAAAUUGGUCUGGGGAGGACACAGAAAGUAAAGAUUUCAUGUAAACUGAGUUUGUUGCACAUGUUGCAUCUCUUCCCAUUGGAAAUUAGCACAAUCAUUUCUUGCAGGCAAGUCAUUUUUAAAAGUUGGAAGAUACUAUCACUUCAUCUCUGUCACCUGUGUAAUGAAGUAAACAAUGUAGGAACACAGAUUAGAUCAUCCAUUAUCAAACACCCCACGACAAAAAAAGUGAAACCACCUGCAGUUUAACAGAUGUUUAAUCAAUUACUGUAGCUCUCAUGAAUGUCCUCCUCAUUCUCUGCAACACGGGCUACCUUUUGAGUAGGAGGAUAAAAUUAUGCCAGGAAAAAAAUAGCAAGAAGUGAGGUUUUACUGUUGCCUCUUUUCCCAAUCAAAAAUUUUAAAAUUGAAGGUAUUAAAAGCUGUCAAGUUAACACAAACACAAAAUGUAAUUCAACAACUUCUUGUUUUACAAGAUUUCAAAUUUUCUUUCAACCAUGGAUACGUUUUGUACCUUGCUUUUAAAAUAGUCAUUUUGCUUACUUGUCAAUUUCUUCUAAGUGCCUUUCUGUUGUCCAUCUUGAUCUGUUCCAUAAAACAAGCAGCAGUUGUGUUUUGGGUUUGGCAUCGUAACAAGGGUCCAAGCAUUUUGCACUGUGAGUGGAGACAGUGAGUUUAAGGAAAAGGCUUACGGAAAUGAGCUACCAGACAAAGCCAGAACCGAUCUUACAGCUGUGCAUAUAUUUAAGGAAAUAAUGGAGGAGUGGAAGUGCUGCAUAUUUUAUUGAUGAUGCAUCACACAAGCAAUGAGAAAUGGGGGCUGCUUUGUAAACUUGGCCAAGUGUUUUAAAGCAUGGUACUGUAAGCAAAACAGAUGAACUGG